AAGAGGACAGUUUGUUUGAAAUCCUUGAUGCUCAUGUCCUGAAGGAGGCUUCCCAAGAAGACAUUGUAACAGUUGCUAAACUCACAAAUAGAUGCUUGAAUCUUAAUGGGAAGAAAAGGCCUACAAUGAAAGAAGUAGCCGUGGUAUUAGCAGGGAUUAAAGCAUGCGAUGGAACUUCAAAUAUUAUCCAAGAAAGUGUUGAGAGCGACAUAGCUGAAAGUUAUGAAACUGGUGAAUCUUUCACCGAAUCAUAUACUGAUAGUGUCACUAUUCCGGUGGAUGCUGAUCCUCUAAUUUCAAAAAAUGGUGAGGACUGAGGAGAUUCUCAAUAAUGUAACUGAAAGUUUCUAUGCAGUUGAAUUUCAAGUUAUAUGUUAGAAUAUUUCAUGUUUAAUAAUAAUCAAUAUGUUUGAAUUUCAUUUCAUAAUUAAAAUUGGGAGACUUUUAGUAUUGUUUACUUCCAUUUACUACGCUUUUGAGAAUCUUGCGCCUCAUGACUUCCAUUUAUUGUGGACCCAGACGGGUAUUUCAUAAAUCCGCGUCCCAAUUUACAAGAGGCUAUAUAAAUUCUGGUGGUCCAGGCUACUUCAUAUGUGAUUUUCUAAUUACUGGGUUAGAAUUAGAGAAUUUUCUGUAUGGGAAAUUUGUUCUUUGUAAGGAGUUCUCGAAUUGUUGUGCCAUAAUAGAAGCUUGCUUAAUGCGUGUUUAUAGUGUGAGAUUAGGCAGUUUUGGCUGAGCCAUUCUAGUCUAUGAUUUCUAGUUCUUUUCUCUGCUCUUGGUUAUUCAAUUUAUUGUCGUAUCAUCCUCAAAGUUUGUCUAUCGUUGGACUGGACGUACCCAAAAAUCAUGAAAUGGAUCCAAUAAUUUUAAUGCUGGUGUCUAUUUUAGAUCAACUGCAUUGACAUAAAAAAUUUUCAUAAUGGUAUAUACGUUGUAUCAAGUCAUACACGAUACUCGCAAGGGAUUUUUAGGAUAAGAUGACUGGAGUCCCUUCAAGCGCAGAUUUUCUAUUUAGCAUUUUACUACCCUUGUAAAUCUCCUACUCUCUCUUUUCAUUAACAAAUUUGAUCAUUUAUAUUAAAUAAGUCAUAAUUAAAAUGGUUUUCACUUCCGUCAUAAUAAAAUAUUAAAAUGCUCAAUUUCAGCACCAUCUCAUCAAUGUAAUUUGGGUUGACCAAGAUCCUUUGGUCUUUGCUAGAGAACAUAUGAAAAUAGACAGAGAAAAAUAAAAUAACAUAAAAUAAAACAAAAGGGAAUAAGAAAAUGAGUAGUAGAGCUGCUUAUUUUUUAUUAGUUUAUGGGUGGGGCUAUAUAUUUACAACCUGAAAAAUACUCUGACCACUCAUUUACUUGGGACACUCAUUCAUUGUAAUUUAAAAAUAGUUAAGUUUUACUUUGUACCCUCUUAAAGUUCCAAACAUAUCCUUAAAGCUUCCUCUUUGUUUCUUCUUCGUAUAUUCUUAGCACGAAAACACCCAAGUCAAGAAUUUCUUAUAUGCUUUCAAUAUUGGUUUAACUAUGAUUCCAUAAAAGCUCUGCCCAUUGUACAAUUAUUCUUGUUCGUAUUGCAAAUUACAGAUGUUGUUAUUUCAGAUUUUGAACAACAAAUCAGUCAUUUUUUUUCUUUUCAGAUUCAAAACAAUAAAUAACCAAUUUAUGCCAGGCCUUUAGCAAACAAUAAUCAACUGGGUGUGAUAAUUGAUUUGAUAUAAAUAAGCAUGGAAUGAAUGGCACAUUUAUUGAGUUUGAGAGAAAAUUUUAUUAGUAUGAUUUUUACUACAUCAUAAAAGUGGAGAACUUGUGAGUCAUGAUUUUCUUGACAAGAAUGGUGAGCAAUAUGUUUGAAUUUUAAGGAUUAACAUUAGUUAAAACUAAUAAAUUUAUGUGGUGGAAUGCGUUCGUUGAGAAUUAAAAAUGGGAUUUAAAAUAUUUUGAGCGCUUUUCGCCACGUUCUUUCCCUUCUUGUCAUUAACGGUUGACAAUGAAAUUUUCUCAACCUCAUUAUCAUUGCUAUCUUCAACAUUACGGGAUAAAUUUGGAGCAUUUGAUGAAUUGAUUUCUAUAUUUUUUGUUUGUGACAUCGUAUUGCUGUUUAUUAUAGAAAAAAUAAUAAAUAAUUAUAAAUAAUCAUGCAAAUUACAUAGUUAUAAUACUAUGUAACAAAAUUAACUUAAAGGCAACCUAAAUGCUAAAUUUAACUCCUAUUAAUAAAAAAAAUUAUCAUACAAAUUACAUAAUUAUGAAUAUUAUGGAAUAAAUUAACUUAAAACAACCUAAAUCUAAAUUCAGCUCCUAUUAAUAAAAAAUAAUUAUAAAUAUUACAUAAUUAUAAAUAUUAUGUAACAAAUUAACUUAAAGGCAACCUAAAUACUAAAUUCAACUCCUAUUAAUAAACAAUUAUCAUUAUAUCAUACAAAAUUACAUAACUAUAAAUAUUAUGUAAUUAAGUUAAAGCAACCUAAAAUCUAAAUUCAACUCCCAUUAAUUAAGAAUAAUCAUACAAGCAUGGUAUCCAAGAAAAACAUUAAGCAUAUAUAUAACACCUAAUAAUAAUAAUGUCAAUUUCAUCAUUUGUUUUUUGAAAAAACAGCCAAAAAAAAGAUAAUACCUUGUGGUUGUGAUGGCCGAGUUGCCGCUGAGAAGGUGACGAAACAAUGGAGUGAGACGAGCUAUGAUGGUUGAUGCCAUCGCACGGUGGCUGUCGUUGAGAAGACGACCAAACGUUGGAGAGACGUUGGCUGUGACGGCUGUGCUUUGUGAGAAAUGAGAAGAGCUGACCAAGGGAGGUAAGAGGUUCCUAAAGGCGCAGUCAACACUACAGCGGUGGAUGGUGGCUGCUGCCGGAGAGACGAAAGGAGGUGCCGACUGCCGAGGUUCGUAGGUUGGCAGCAGUGAAUUGUUUCAGUGUCUGUGUUGUGUUUAGUUAUAAAAUCAAUACCCGGAUCUGCUUUUCCCAUACAUGCGGUCCGGGCCACAUGCGCCGAGUCUGGGCUGGAUCUGGUCCAGGUGCGCAUUUUUG
rnacentral:lncRNA from 1 species